ensembl:snRNA U7 U7 small nuclear RNA
GAGUGUUACAGCUCUUUUAGAAUUUGUCUAGCGCUGGAAAACCCCU